rnacentral:lncRNA from 10 species
UAAGAGGAGUCAUAUAUAAAGAGAAUUUAAACCUUUACAAGAAAAUACAGAACUAAGAAGAGUGAUACAGUGAAAUGUUCUAAAGAUUAGGGAUCAGAAAAUCUGGGUUCCUAUUAAUUACUAUAAAUGUAAUAUUAGACAACCAUCACUAUUUUCACUGUUCAGUGAGGUCAAUAAUAAUAGGCCUAUUAACAGCAGAGUGAUUUUCUCAUUUAUCAGAUGAGAACAUAGUAAAGAAAAGCACAAACUGUAAAACAAAACUCAUAAUGAGUGAUGCUAAAGGACAUCUUGUUUGAGUUCAUCGUCAUAGGUAAAACUUAAAAUUGGCACUGCAUUUUCUAACAGCCAUGGCUAAAAGGAAAGCCUGUUGACUAGAGACACAAAUUAUUAUUGUCUGAUAUGAAUAAGAAGAUGAACUUUCCCCAAAUUUAUCAAACAUAUGUAAAGUUGACACUAAAUAACUGGAUAAAACUGACACUGAAUAAUAUGUUACACAAUGUGAUAUAAAAAACAAAGCAAUAUCACUCAGAUAGGAGUGUCUACAAAAUCUGAGUAUGUAAAAUUAGAUAUAAAUGUAGUGAAGAUAUAUAUGUCUUCAGAAAACUAAGGUAAUAUGGUAAAGAUAUAUUAUUUAAUGAUAAUCUAUAUUCCUAAAAGUAGGGAUGAUAUUUUUCCCAAAGAAAAAGGAUGGAGGAAUUGACUGGCUGGUACAAUGCAUUUUAUAAUUCAAUCGAUUUUUUAUUCUCCACUGGUAGAUAAUUUACAGAAAGCUUUAAAUCACCUUCUUGACCUCCUUGAAUGCUAACUCUUUUAUGACAAAAUAGACUUUUCUGGAACAGAAAAAAAAUAUCUUAUUUUUCUACAUGUUCACAAUGAAUGGCCUUAAGACUUUAUCCUUCUACUCUCACAGAGGAUAUGUAUUCCCUUAACUCAAACAGCAAAUAGCAAACAGCUAAGUUCAUGAUAGACAGCCAAGUCUAGGGCACUAGAAUGAUGUUUUUAAAAUUACUACUAAAACGAAUAACCACUUAUAGUUUAGGAAUAGUAACAUUGCUUAUCUAAUAUUUGCUACACACAUUUUCUCCAGUAAUUUUGCUUAAUACCUUAUUCAUGAUUUUGAUCUAUGAAAUUUUAUAAUUUGUAUAAAACUAAUUAAAUUGUGAUUUUUGUUUAUUGAUUUUAAAUGCAAAAUUUAUGUUAUAUGUAGAAAUAUGAUUUAUAUGUUGUUCUAAUUAUGAUGUUUAAAAUUUAACUUAAAACUACACAUGAAAUAUGAAAUAUAAGUUGUGAUGAGAGGUACAGCUCUUUAUUUCUAAUUAUGUCACUCCUCACACAGAAAUUAUUUUAUCUACAAGUAAAAAUUUUAAAAAAUGGAAAUGAUGACAAUAUCUAAAAUUUUAAAUGUUUUAAAUGUUUUCACCCAUUUUCUGAAACAAAGAUUGUAAACGAUUUUUCAUAUAUCAGUCUAACAAAGAUUUUUAAAAUGUUUACUAGUCAGUAAAAAGUUACAUUG